rnacentral:rRNA from 1 species
UAAGACGAACCACCCAAACGUUAUUCGGAAUUACUGGGCUUAAAGGGUGCGUAGGCGGCGUGGAAAGUUGGGUGUGAAAUCCCUCGGCUCAACCGAGGAACUGCGCUCAAAACUACCAUGCUCGAGGAAGACAGAGGUAAGCGGAACUUCGGGUGGAGCGGUGAAAUGCGUUGAUAUCCGAAGGAACACCGGUGGCGAAAGCGGCUUACUGGGUCUUUUCUGACGCUGAUGCACGAAAGCCAGGGGAGCAAACGGGAUUAGAUACCCCGGUAGUCCUGGCUGUAAACGAUGAGCACUUGGUUGGAGACUCCUCCAUAGGUUUCCGGCCGUAGCGAAAGUGUUAAGUGCUCCGCCUGGGGAGUAUGGCCGCAAGGCUG